ensembl:lncRNA
AUAGAUACUAUUGUGGAAAUUGAAGAGUGGCCUUUGGCUACUGAUGUAUUGAAACUGAAUCUUGUUAUUACAUUAUCCAGGCUGCACUCUUUCAUGCUGUCUGUGCUAAAACUAGAUAUGCAUGCCAUUUCCCUUGCAGGUAUGUUCUGGUUUGGGGGCACAGCUCUUUUUUUUUUUUUUUUUAAGUAAGAUUAAAAAAUGAAAAAUAUAUAAAAUUUAUAUAGAAUAAAUAUUUCCAUUCAUUAGACUUGUUAAAAGGAGACUGAAUUAAUAUUUUAUAUAAAGAUUUUGUUACACUAUGGGAGGCUCUAUCAUAUUAUUCUGAAUUGGAGAGUAUAUAUAUAUAUAUAUUUUUAAUAAACUUUAUUAAGGUGAAAUAAUUUGAAGUUUACACAUGAGUAAUUGAAAUAUUUGAGUAAAAAUGGCAAAAGUUUAAAUUUUGAAUGCUGUAUAUAUUAAAGAAUAUGGAGAAUCAUGGUGUGAUGCAACUAUAUGAGGAAAAUUAAUGUGAAGUUUUUUUGGGGGGAAAAAGAUAUCCUAAGGAGCGAAAAAAAUCUCUCCAUGAAGAUUCUUCACAUUAUAUGGUUUGACAUAAGGAUUUAUAAGGUUGUUUGUUCAACUAAUGGAAAUGUGCUUAAUAAAAAAUUCUGACCUUGGGUAAGAAUUUGCUUUAUACCCUGUUGCUGGUUUCAUGUACAUACAUGAGUGCAUACACCCAUCCAAAUGCUCUCUUCCCAACACUCAUUAAAUAUAUGACAUUGACUUGGUUUAACAGCCUGAUUUUGUGCCAGCUUCUCUUUUUCUUGAGGCUCCAAAACUUCCAAGAUAAAUUUAAGACCAAAAGUUGCUUAUUUUGUCACACCUUGAUUUCUCCUAGAGCCAUAAAUACCUCCUUUUGAGAACUAAGAAGUAGUGAAUACUGGGAUUUUCUUAGUUGGAUUUUUUUACUUUUGUGGGAAUAGUGAGACAAAGUAGAAGGAACACUGAUGCCAGGAUUACUGUUGAGGAUUACUGUAUAGCACAUUUUUGAAAAGUAUUAAUUAAACAAAUGCUAUCUAGAAGCAACAUUUAAAAAAAUCUGUCUGAAAGUUUAAAAUGCUCUGGAGCUAACUAAAGGAUAAGUAUACCAAUAAAUCUAAAAUAAAGGUUAGUGUUUUUUAAACUAUGCUAGAGUUAACACCAUUCUGGCUCUGAAGGAGCUCCUUUAUCCCAGUUUACGUGCAGAUCCUCAAGAAGAAACACUCUAGGUUGCCAGACCACAAUUUAAGAAGUUAUGCUGCUGCUGUUCAUCUAUUCUUACAGGAUCUGGGUGGUAAAAUAGAGAAACUUGGACGCUAUAUUACCUUAGUGAAACAUACUUUAAAUAACAUGUUUUAAAAAUCCGAUGAUAACAAGUCACUUCUGAGUUUCUCGGUCUCUGUUGACACUGCUACUGACUCACCGCUCCUCCCCUGGGAUAAGAUGUCAGUUUCCCUAUAUUGUGAAGAUACCGUAGCUGGUCUGUAAAGCACUUUGAAGAUAAGCACUGUGUGACAGUGCUGAAUAUUACGCUUGGGGGGCCUCUCCUUGAUUCCCUUCCCCAUAAUAGUUUUGUUUGGAAUUGUAAUAAGUUAUGAACUGCAUGGUUUAGAUAAUCAUAAAUAUUGGAUCAGCUGUCCCCUUGAACAAAAAUGAUACCCCUGAUAUUUUUUAAUUUUGUUGCAUCUUUGUAGUAAUGUAAUUGUAUUUUAUGCCUGCUUUUUAUAUU